CGCCAGACUCCUACGGGAGGCAGCAGUAGGGAAUAUUGCUCAAUGGGGGAAACCCUGAAGCAGCAACGCCGCGUGGAGGAUGAAGGUUUUCGGAUUGUAAACUCCUUUUGUUAGAGAAGAUAAUGACGGUAUCUAACGAAUAAGCACCGGCUAACUCCGUGCCAGCAGCCGCGGUAAUACGGAGGAUGCGAGCGUUAUCCGGAUUUAUUGGGUUUAAAGGGUGCGCAGGCGGGCUGUUAAGCCGGCGGUAAAAAUUCAGGGCUCAACCCUGUCGAGCCGUCGGAACUGGCAGUCUUGAGUGGGCGAGAAGUAUGCGGAAUGCGUGGUGUAGCGGUGAAAUGCAUAGAUAUCACGCAGAACGCCGAUUGCGAAGGCAGCAUACCGGCGCCCAACUGACGCUGAGGCACGAAAGCGUGGGGAUCGAACAGGAUUAGAUACCCGAGUA
rnacentral:rRNA from 1 species